rnacentral:tRNA from 1 species
CGGAGAGUUUUGGAUUCUUAGGAGUAGGUUCAAUUCCUAUAGUUCUAG